rnacentral:rRNA from 1 species
GCUUACACAUGCAAGUCGAACGAAGUCUUCGGACUUAGUGGCGGACGGGUGAGUAACACGUGAGAAUCUGCCUUCGGGUCUGGGAUAACAGUUGGAAACGACUGCUAAUACCGGAUGUGCCCUCGGGUGAAAGAUUAAUUGCCAGAAGAUGAGCUCGCGUCUGAUUAGCUAGUUGGUGGGGUAAAAGCCUACCAAGGCGACGAUCAGUAGCUGGUCUGAGAGGAUGAGCAGCCACACUGGGACUGAGACACGGCCCAGACUCCUACGGGAGGCAGCAGUGGGGAAUUUUCCGCAAUGGGCGAAAGCCUGACGGAGCAAGACCGCGUGAGGGAGGAAGGCCUUUGGGUUGUAAACCUCUUUUGUCAGGGAAGAAAAAAAUGACGGUACCUGACGAAUCAGCCUCGGCUAACUCCGUGCCAGCAGCCGCGGUAAUACGGAGGAGGCAAGCGUUAUCCGGAAUCAUUGGGCGUAAAGCGUCCGUAGGUGGCCAAGUAAGUCUGCUGUCAAAGACCACAGCUUAACUGUGGAAAGGCAGUGGAAACUGCGGGGCUAGAGUACGGUAGGGGUAGAGGGAAUUCCAGGUGUAGCGGUGAAAUGCGUAGAGCUCUGGAAGAACACCGGUGGCGAAAGCGCUCUACUGGGCCGUAACUGACACUGAGGGACGAAAGCUAGGGGAGCGAAAGGGAUUAGAUACCCCUGUAGUCCUAGCCGUAAACGAUGGAUACUAGGUGUAGCACGUAUCGACCCGUGCUGUAUCGGAGCCAACGCGUUAAGUAUCCCGCCUGGGGAGUACGCGCGCAAGCGUGAAACUCAAAGGAAUUGACGG